CUACGGGCCGCUGCAGUGAGGAAUUUUGCGCAAUGGGGGAAACCCUGACGCAGCAACGCCGCGUGAGUGAUGAAGGCCUUCGGGUCGUAAAGCUCUGUCAAGUGGGAAGAAUGUAUACAUGGCUAAUAUCCAUGUGUAGUGACGGUACCACUGAAGGAAGCACCGGCUAACUCCGUGCCAGCAGCCGCGGUAAUACGGGCGGUGCAAGCGUUAUUCGGAUUUACUGGGCGUAAAGCGCGCGCAGGCGGUUUUGUAAGUCGGAUGUGAAAGCCCUGGGCUUAACCCGGGAAGUGCAUUCGAUACUGCAUUACUUGAGUAUGGGAGAGGGAAGCGGAAUUCCUGGUGUAGAGGUGAAAUUCGUAGAUAUCAGGAGGAACAUCGGUGGCGAAGGCGGCUUCCUGGACCAAUACUGACGCUGAGGCGCGAAGGCGUGGGGAGCAAACAGGAUUAGAUACCCCAGUAGUC
rnacentral:rRNA from 1 species